AUGCUGCUCCCAGACGCACAGCAGAGUGUUCGUUCACCCCGGCUCCCGGAAGGGUGGCCCCGUCUUGGGAAAGCUCCUGGGAGUCGGGUAGGGAGACCCACCUUCCUCUUUCUCGUGAGGAGUCUUGUCGAGCACGGUCCUUUGACAGCAGAGGGGCUGGUGGGAGGUGGACGGAUCCCACUCUGGGAAAGACACCUAACACCGUGUUUCCCAGGAAGGAGUCCUCGUGAGCUGCCGACCCUGCACACACGAGGUCUAAGUCUGUCCACACCCCACCUGCAGCUACACAUGGCUUCUCCCCCGGAAACCACACCCCGGAUCUGCGUGGCAAAACUGAGCACCUCCCCCAAGCCUCCACCCCACGUGCCUCCAAAGCACCCCAAGCCCAGGGGAGGUCUUCCUGGAGUUUCUUCUCUGUCCCUCCUCCCCCAUUCCUCCAGACCCUUCCCUCCAUCUGCACCGUCCCCAGGGGCCACGCUCUCGCUGCUUUUCCCAUGUCUGCAAGACCCCUGCCCACCCCCACCCCGCCACUGUCUCCCUCUGGGCUGGCUCCUAACCCACUCCCACCUCCAGGGCUCCAUCCUUCUGACGGCAAAUCUGAUGGCGUCACUCCAGACGUCAGCAGCUCUCCGUCCCGGGAUAAGAUGCUUCCAAGACCUUUCACAACCUCCCCCUCGGCCCCAGUGCACACUGGGCUCUGGUCACGCUGCACUCCUGCAGCCCAGGGUCCCACCUUCUUCCAGGGCCGUACCCAUGACAGCAGCAGCCUCUCUGGUCCCUCCAGGAAACCCUUGCUGGUCCUUAAAGAUGGGCCAGGUUUGGGGACAUCACAGCCGAGGGGCUGUGACAACCCCCCAGCAGACCACUCGUGCCUCCCUCACCGCAGCGCUGUCCCGGGGUCUCCUUACGCUGCCCACCCCACAAGCCCUCCUGGAAGGGCUCUUUGUUCUUCCUGGCACCCUCAGAGCCUUGCACAGGUCAGGCAGCCAGUGGACGUCUGCUGGACACGGAAACCACGAGCUCCUUCCCUCCCCCAGUGCCGACAUCCAUCAUCUUCGCAGGUAUUAUUUCUGUCCCGCCUUGUUCCAAAGGGAUUGAAGGAUGCUUUGAUCAAAACUUCACAAAGACUGGUUUACUGGGAUCGUAAUGAUAAAUCUAUUCAUUUGACCAAGAAAUAACGUGUUCAGCUCAAAGUGCAGCAAUGAUUGAGUCCCAGGUCCAAGUCCACCCUGGACGUUCUCGGAAACCAGACUUUCCUCUUGAUUCUGGAGGUUUGGUUACAAACAAAAUCCACCCGUGGUUUUACAUGAUCCUGGGGGAAGGCAGUGAGAAGUCACUCAUCCACUCUUUGAAAAAGAGCUGCAGAGGACGUUGUUCUGGGCACCCCUACCUCGAAUAUGAGCACGUUUUCCGAGGAGCUAGUCCACCCAGGUGGCUGGCUUCCACAGAGGGGUCAGGAACGCCAGUUGGGCAGGAGGGAUGCAGGGUCCUGGGAACCAUCCCCAGCUGGCAUCCAGGCUCAGAUUCACCCCAGUAAAGGGGAGAGCUAGACGGGGGCCCUCAGAGCCCUUUCCGUGUCAGGAACUCUGAGGUUCUGAUUCUCUGCUCCACCGGAGGGGGGCUGUCUGAAAGAAAACCCACUAAGGGUGAGGGGCACGGCCUCUGCAAAGAGAUCCCCGUGUGGGGGGCUCCAGGGCGGGGGCCUGAGGGAGGCCGCUAGCAAACUUCUCUCCGUCCACUCAUUCAGCGCAGAUCGGAACACUCACCUGCAAGGUGCCGUCUGCACCAAGGGUGGGCAGCCCUGAGCAAGGCGAGCAAAGUCCCGUCCCGCCACGUCACUCCCAGGGUGGGCGGUGGACACCCACGGCGCGGCUCCGGCGACGCCAAGGGGGCACGCAGCCCGCGGGCAGGUCGGAGCCACGGAGGGCGAGGAAGGCUGCUGCCCAGCCCGCCUGGGAACGGCCAGCCGUGCAGACCGAGGACGAGCGCGUGCGCGCACCGGCGGUGCGACGGGGACGGAGCCUGAGGGCGCGGCGCGGGACCGGGAGCCGGGAGCACGCUGCCCGAAGAGCUGCCGGCGGGCGGGAGGCGCGCUAGCCCGAGGCCCCGCCCAGAGCAGCCCGGAGGCCGCUCUUCUCAGAGGCGGAGGGCCUCCCGGGCUCUUUGUCCCACUGCCGAAGGCUCGGCCCAUGUUCCCCAUUUCUCUGCUUUGUGCAGGACCGGCCCUGGAGAAGAAAUCAGGGAACAGUGGCGCUGGGUGGCCGCAUCCUCCCACUGCGGCCGGUGAGCAAAGCACAGGGGGCAGCGGAUGGGACACCAAGGUCAGGCUGGGACCAGUAGGCCAGGCCUGCCCGCCCCCAUCCGAGGUCAGGGGCGACCAGCCGGGCCUGCCCGCCCCCAUCCGAGUUCGAGGGGACCAGCCGGCUUUGUCCCCACUCCCGCAGCUCCUUCUCCUCUGCCAUCAGGACCCCUGAGGCUCUGAGCCCGAGUGUCUAUGCAGCCACUCCGUCUCCUCUGAACCGUGAUGAGGUGGCAUCUGGAAGGGAACCCACGUGGGACCAGCCCUGACGGGACAGAAACGGGAUCUGUGGACAUGAGCCCCAUGGGGGACAGCACCCACCCCCGCGGGCCCAGGGCCAACCCAAGAGCAGAGGCGAGGAGGGGCCCACGGGCCAGUGAGAUGCCAGCUGAGUGGUGUCUAACACACCUCAAGGGCACAUCCCGGUGCAUCUCCUGCCCCUGGUCCCAGGACUGGAGAUUCAGCAAUAGCGAUACCAGCAAAUGUCGUGUCGACCGUUAGCAAAAUCCUAAAGCACUUUGUACCUCAGCUACCUGAUGCAAAGAGCCAACUCAUUAGAAAAUACUCUGAUGCUGGGAAGGAUUGAAGGCAGGAGGAGAAGGGGACGACAGAGGAUGAGAUGGGUGGAUGGCAUCACUGACUCGAUGGCCGUGAGUCUGAGCAAGCUCUGGGAGUUGGUGAUGGACAAGGAGGCCUGAUGUGCUGCAGUCCAUGGGGUCGCAAAGAGUCGGACACGACUGAGCGACUGAACUGAAACCCUGAACAAACCCCCGCAGACUGAAUCCAGCAACGUGCAAGAGUUAUACAUGAGGACCAGGUGGGAUUUAUCCCAGGAACACAAGUCAUUUAAAUCUGAAGAUCAAUAAAGGGAUAUAUCAAAUUGAUCGAAUAAAAAAA
ensembl:lncRNA